CGUUAGUUUUGCAAUCCAGUGGAAUCUGCAUACAUCUUAUACCUUUUAAUGGCAUCGUUGGUAUGUAUUGAUUUGUUUUAUUGUUACUCAUGAUUGCAAAUGAUUAUUUUGUGACAAUGUUUAGUUUGGGAAGUUUUAUGCACAUCGAGGCAUUAUAGUUAAUGUUUACUCCGCUAUGACUUAUCAGUACAUUUACAUUGUGUGUAUAUGUAAGCAUUAGCAAAGCAUUUUAUUUGUAUUCAUUAUGCUCUUUGUGUGUUUUAGUUUUACUCUUUCCUGUGUCAAUAAACCUGUGGACAACGGACAAGGGUCUUCAGAGUCAUGAUGUCAGGAAGGAGUUUGCCUAACUGCCGAGGUGUAUAACAGCACAUAUACUGAGGGCAGCACAGAAUGUCUGUUUCAGCCCGAGCAGAACCAGUGACACAGGGAGAAAGCAAGGAGGAGAGAAAGGGGGAGGCCCUGCUGCAUCCCAAUCAGCCUGGCUCACUGAGGCAGAACUGUGCCUAAAAUGCUGGGACUGGGGUGGUCUGAGCUUCACACUCCCAUUUACAAUUUACAAUCACCACAGUCCAAUGCAAUUCAAAUAAUAAUAACAAAUGGGGUCAAACUGGAAGGAUAUAUGCUGCAUGCUGAGUUUUUCAAUACAGAACACAACUCAGGCACAUUAUGUGUCAGGAAAUGUAAGGUGGUAGAGUGCAGGUUAAGCUGAGCAGGCUGACAUUUGUAUGCAAUAAUACAGCUGUUUUAUCAGUCUGAUCAUGAAGAGGGGCUGCAACACACAGUCUUAUCUAUCCUAAUUGAUAUGCUGGAGAUAUGGCCUAUAUGCCAAAAUGAAAUACUUGUGGUACUGACUGUCAACACUUUUGUACCUUUAAAACAACCUGAAAAUCUAAACUGUCUUUUACAGAAAACCUACUCUCACCAGGUAGAAAGUUCACAAUAGAUUAUUUUAACAAACGUGUUCAAUUAAAUUGCUCAGCAUAUAAUGCCAGUGUUUUAAAUAUAGGUGUGUAAUCAUUUGUGGUUUUAAGUUGUUUGGAUAAGAUAUACAAAUAUAUAAAUAACUUGUUGGUUUGAAACAUAAAGUAAAAAUGUCUCCUGUGUGAAAGUAGGCCAUGCUACACGCACAGUGAUGGACAACAUCUUUUUACAAAACACUAUAUACUUUAUACAUUAACGCUGCCAAAACUGUUGAAUAUGAAUUUCCAAAGGACAUUAGCCUGAUAAAGUAUCACAAACAAAUAUACUAAUACAUAUGUUGUGUGCAGUGGAACAUGAUUUAUGGGAUUACAUUUUAGUAUCCUCACACUAUUUCUUGUCACCACUAUUUCAGGCUGCCAGAUGAAGUCUUUUGUCCUGUUAAAUGUGACGUCCUGCGGGAGAUGUUAUUUUCUUUCCUCUCUCAAUGUUUUCCCUUCUACUGUCAACUAUCAAAUAAAGGGAAACAAAUACUC